UACGUAGGGCGCAAGCGUUGUCCGGAAUUAUUGGGCGUAAAGAGCUCGUAGGCGGUUUGUCGCGUCUGCCGUGAAAGCCCGGGGCUUAACUCCGGGUCUGCGGUGGAUACGGGCAGACUAGAGGCAGGUAGGGGAGAACGGAAUUCCCGGUGUAGCGGUGAAAUGCGUAGAGAUUGGGAAGAACAUCGGUGGCGAAAGCGCUCUACUGGACCUCAUCUGACACUCAGGGACGAAAGCUAGGGGAGCGAAUGGG
rnacentral:rRNA from 1 species